rnacentral:tRNA from 1 species
UCAGGAUAGCUCAGUUGG